rnacentral:rRNA from 1 species
CCGCGGUAAUACGGAUGGAGCUAGCGUUGUUCGGAAUGACUGGGCGUAAAGCGCGCGUAGGCGGCAUAGCAAGUCGGGGGUGAAAUCCCGGGGCUCAACCCCGGAACUGCCUUUGAAACUGCUAAGCUAGAAUCCUGGAGAGGCGAGUGGAAUUCCGAGUGUAGAGGUGAAAUUCGUAGAUAUUCGGAAGAACACCAGUGGCGAAGGCGACUCGCUGGACAGGUAUUGACGCUGAGGUGCGAAAGCGUGGGGAGCAAACAGG